UACGGAGGGUGCAAGCGUUAUCCGGAUUCACUGGGUUUAAAGGGUGCGUAGGUGGGUUUGUAAGUCAGUGGUGAAAUCUCCGUGCUUAACCUGGAAACUGCCAUUGAUACUAUAGAUCUUGAAUUUUCUGGAGGAUAGCGGAAUAUGUCAUGUAGCGGUGAAAUGCUUAGAUAUGACAUAGAGCACCAAUUGCGAAGGCAGCUAUCUACAGGGAUAUUGACACUGAGGCACGAAAGCGUGGGGAUCAAACAGG
rnacentral:rRNA from 1 species